CGUAGGUGGCAAGCGUUGUCCGGAAUUAUUGGGCGUAAAGGGCGCGUAGGCGGUACCUUAAGUCAGAUGUGAAAACCCGAGGCUUAACUUCGGAGGUGCAUUUGAAACUGGGGAACUAGAGUGCAGGAGAGGUAAGUGGAAUUCCUAGUGUAGCGGUGAAAUGCGUAGAUAUUAGGAGGAACACCAGUGGCGAAGGCGACUUACUGGACUGUAACUGACGCUGAGGCGCGAAAGCGUGGGGAGCAAACAGGAUUAGAUACCCUGGUAGUCCACGCUGUAAACGAUGGAUACUAGGUGUGGGAGGUAUCGACCCCUUCCGUGCCGCAGUAAACGCAAUAAGUAUCCCGCCUGGGGAGUACGGCCGCAAGGUUG
rnacentral:rRNA from 1 species